GGGGAUCCAUGAGGGGAUAUAGUAUUCCGGCUACAAUAAGCUAUAACGUCUGGUUUGUAUCUGAACUCAUGAAAAAGAUCUCUCAAACGUGAAUAUCAGUGUAGGUAACAUUCUACAACGCGGUUUGUAUAUUUGAGCCCGCAUUCAGGUAACUGAGAGGGCCGCCCGAGCUUGGGCCUGGGGACGAGGAUGAUUCAAAUGGUGAAUUCGACGCUCCCAACGGCAACGGAAGGUGGAAAUU